GACGAACGCUGGCGGCGUGCUUAACACAUGCAAGUCGAACGCUGAAGCUUGGUGCUUGCCCUGGGUGGAUGAGUGGCGAACGGGUGAGUAAUACGUGAGUAACCUGCCCUUGACUCUGGGAUAAGCCUGGGAAACUGGGUCUAAUACUGGAUAUGACAUGCCACUGCAUGGAGGUGUGUGGAAAGGGUUUUACUGGUUUUGGAUGGGCUCACGGCCUAUCAGCUUGUUGGUGGGGUAAUGGCCUACCAAGGCGACGACGGGUAGCCGGCCUGAGAGGGUGACCGGCCACACUGGGACUGAGACACGGCCCAGACUCCUACGGGAGGCAGCAGUGGGGAAUAUUGCACAAUGGGCGGAAGCCUGAUGCAGCGACGCCGCGUGAGGGAUGACGGCCUUCGGGUGGUAAACCUCUUUCAGCACGGAAGAAGCGAGAGUGACGGUACGUGCAGAAGAAGCGCCGGCUAACUACGG
rnacentral:rRNA from 1 species